rnacentral:rRNA from 1 species
GAACGCUGGCGGCGUGCCUAAUACAUGCAAGUCGAGCGAACAGACGAGGAGCUUGCUCCUCUGACGUUAGCGGCGGACGGGUGAGUAACACGUGGAUAACCUACCUAUAAGACUGGGAUAACUUCGGGAAACCGGAGCUAAUACCGGAUAACAUGUUGAACCGCAUGGUUCAACAGUGAAAGACGGUCUUGCUGUCACUUAUAGAUGGAUCCGCGCCGCAUUAGCUAGUUGGUAAGGUAACGGCUUACCAAGGCAACGAUGCGUAGCCGACCUGAGAGGGUGAUCGGCCACACUGGAACUGAGACACGGUCCAGACUCCUACGGGAGGCAGCAGUAGGGAAUCUUCCGCAAUGGGCGAAAGCCUGACGGAGCAACGCCGCGUGAGUGAUGAAGGUCUUCGGAUCGUAAAACUCUGUUAUUAGGGAAGAACAAAUGUGUAAGUAACUAUGCACGUCUUGACGGUACCUAAUCAGAAAGCCACGGCUAACUACGUGCCAGCAGCCGCGGUAAUACGUAGGUGGCAAGCGUUAUCCGGAAUUAUUGGGCGUAAAGCGCGCGUAGGCGGUUUUUUAAGUCUGAUGUGAAAGUCCACGGCUCAACCGUGGAGGGUCAUUGGAAACUGGAAAACUUGAGUGCAGAAGAGGAAAGUGGAAUUCCAUGUGUAGCGGUGAAAUGCGCAGAGAUAUGGAGGAACACCAGUGGCGAAGGCGGCUUUCUGGUCUGUAACUGACGCUGAUGUGCGAAAGCGUGGGGAUCAAACAGGAUUAGAUACCCUGGUAGUCCACGCCGUAAACGAUGAGUGCUAAGUGUUAGGGGGUUUCCGCCCCUUAGUGCUGCAGCUAACGCAUUAAGCACUCCGCCUGGGGAGUACGACCGCAAGGGUG